AAAGUCGUAACAAGGUCUCCGUAGGUGAACCUGCGGAGGGAUCAUUACCGAGUGCGGGCCCUCGCGCCCAACCUCCCAACCCUUUGUCGAUUCGUAUCUGUUGCCUCGGGGGGCGACCCGGACGUCACGUCCGGGAGUCCCCCAGAGGUCCAACCCAACACACUGCGUCUUUGCGUCGGAGUAUUGAAAACAAAUCAAUCAAAACUUUCAACAACGGAUCUCUUGGUUCUG
rnacentral:misc_RNA from 1 species